UACGUAGGGUGCAAGCGUUGUCCGGAAUUAUUGGGCGUAAAGAGCUCGUAGGCGGUCUGUCACGUCUGCUGUGAAAACUCGGGGCUUAACCCCGGGCCUGCAGUGGGUACGGGCAGGCUAGAGUGCGGUAGGGGAGACUGGAAUUCCUGGUGUAGCGGUGAAAUGCGCAGAUAUCAGGAGGAACACCGGUGGCGAAGGCGGGUCUCUGGGCCGUAACUGACGCUGAGGAACGAAGGCGUGGGGAGCGAACAGG
rnacentral:rRNA from 1 species